rnacentral:rRNA from 1 species
UACGUAGGGGGCAAGCGUUGUCCGGAAUCAUUGGGCGUAAAGAGCGCGUAGGCGGCCCGGUAAGUCCGCUGUGAAAGUCGGGGGCUCAACCCUCGGAUGCCGGUGGAUACUGUCGGGCUUGAGUACGGAAGAGGCGAGUGGAAUUCCUGGUGUAGCGGUGAAAUGCGCAGAUAUCAGGAGGAACACCAAUAGCGAAGGCAGCUCGCUGGGACGGUACUGACGCUGAGGCGCGAAAGCGUGGGGAGCAAACAGG